UGGGGAAUUUUGGACAAUGGGCGAAAGCCUGAUCCAGCAAUGCCGCGUGUGUGAAGAAGGCCUUCGGGUUGUAAAGCACUUUUGUCCGGAAAGAAAUCCUUGGCUCUAAUACAGUCGGGGGAUGACGGUACCGGAAGAAUAAGCACCGGCUAACUACGUGCCAGCAGCCGCGGUAAUACGUAGGGUGCAAGCGUUAAUCGGAAUUACUGGGCGUAAAGCGUGCGCAGGCGGUUUGCUAAGACCGAUGUGAAAUCCCCGGGCUCAACCUGGGAACUGCAUUGGUGACUGGCAGGCUAGAGUAUGGCAGAGGGGGUAGAAUUCCACGUGUAGCAGUGAAAUGCGUAGAGAUGUGGAGGAAUACCGAUGGCGAAGGCAGCCCCUGGGCCAAUACUGACGCUCAUGCACGAAAGCGUGGGGAGCAAACAGGAUUAGAUACCCUGGUAGUCCACGCCCUAAACGAUGUCAACUAGUUGUUGGGACUCAUUUCCUUAGUAACGUAGCUAACGCGUGAAGUUGACCGCCUGGGGAGUACGGUCGCAAGAUUAAAACUCAAA
rnacentral:rRNA from 1 species